rnacentral:rRNA from 1 species
GAUGAACGCUAGCUACAGGCUUAACACAUGCAAGUCGAGGGGAAACGGCAUCGAAAGCUUGCUUUUGAUGGGCGUCGACCGGCGCACGGGUGAGUAACGCGUAUCCAACCUGCCCAUCACUUGGGAAUAACCUUGCGAAAGUAAGACUAAUGCCCAAUGACAUCCCACGAAGGCAUCCGAAUGGGAUUAAAGAUUUAUCGGUGAUGGAUGGGGAUGCGUCUGAUUAGCUUGUUGGCGGGGUGACGGCCCACCAAGGCAACGAUCAGUAGGGGUUCUGAGAGGAAGGUCCCCCACAUUGGAACUGAGACACGGUCCAAACUCCUACGGGAGGCAGCAGUGAGGAAUAGUGGUCAAUGGGCGAGAGCCUGAACCAGCCAAGUAGCGUGCAGGAUGACGGCCCUAUGGGUUGUAAACUGCUUUUAUAAGGGAAUAAAGUGGGUCACGUGUGACUUUUUGCAUGUACCUUAUGAAUAAGGACCGGCUAAGUCCGUG